rnacentral:rRNA from 1 species
AACGAACGCUGGCGGCAGGCCUAACACAUGCAAGUCGAACGCCGUAGCAAUACGGAGUGGCAGACGGGUGAGUAACACGUGGGAACAUACCCUUCGGUUCGGAAUAACUCAGGGAAACUUGAGCUAAUACCGGAUACGUCCGCGAGGAGAAAGAUUCAUCGCCGGAGGAUUGGCCCGCGUCUGAUUAGCUUGUUGGUGAGGUAACGGCUCACCAAGGCGACGAUCAGUAGCUGGCUGAGAGGAUGAUCAGCCACAUUGGGACUGAGACACGGCCCAAACUCCUACGGGAGGCAGCAGUGGGGAAUAUUGGACAAUGGGCGCAAGCCUGAUCCAGCCAUGCCGCGUGAGUGAUGAAGGCCCUAGGGUUGUAAAGCUCUUUUACCCGGGAAGAUAAUGACUGUACCGGGAGAAUAAGCCCCGCUAACUUCGUGGCAGCCGCCGCGGUAAU